rnacentral:rRNA from 1 species
GAUGAACGCUAGCUACAGGCUUAACACAUGCAAGUCGAGGGGUAACGAGAGGAAAGCUUGCUUUCCUUGUUGACGACCGGCGCACGGGUGAGUAACGCGUAUCCAACCUGCCCCCAACUAGGGAAUAACCUUGCGAAAGUAAGACUAAUACCCUAUAAUUUCCUCAGAUGUCAUCUGACGAGGAGUAAAGAUUUAUCGGUUGUGGAUGGGGAUGCGUCUGAUUAGCUUGUUGGCGGGGUAACGGCCCACCAAGGCAACGAUCAGUAGGGGUUCUGAGAGGAAGGUCCGCCACAUUGGAACUGAAACACUGUCCAAACUCCUACGGGAGGCAGCAGUGAGGAAUAUUGGUCAAUGGCGGAAGCCUGAACCAGCCAAGUAGCGUGCAGGAUGACGGCCCUAUGGGUUGUAAACUGCUUUUAUACAGGAAUAAAGUUAGCCACGUGUGGUUAUUUGUAGGUACUGUAUGAAUAAGGACCGGCUAAUUCCGUGCCAGCCGCCGCCGUAA